AACAAGGCGUACCUGCGGACCUGCGGAAGGAUCAUUACCGAGUUUACAACUCCCAAACCCCUGUGAACAUACCACUUGUUGCCUCGGCGGAUCAGCCCGCUCCCGGUAAAACGGGACGGCCCGCCAGAGGACCCCUAAACUCUGUUUCUAUAUGUAACUUCUGAGUAAAACCAUAAAUAAAUCAAAACUUUCAACAAUGGAUCU
rnacentral:misc_RNA from 1 species